GGGAAAGUAGCUCAGUGGUAGAGUGCUUGCCUUGCAUGCAUGAGGUCCUGGGUUCGAUUCCUCAGCACCA
rnacentral:tRNA from 1 species